rnacentral:lncRNA from 1 species
AUGUCAUUCAUGCGAUUACGGUGUGCAGUAGCAGAGGGGCCUGCCACAGAGCCAGAGCCUUCAACAUUUAAACAAAUCAAAAUGCACCCCACUAUCCUGAGUAGGACUAAGUCUCAAGUCCAGAGGGAUGAUGAUGGGCAACUACGGGACAGUGCCUCUGUGUCUCCAACUGCCAAGUGACCUUUGAGUGAAAGCCAUCCCACAAACACUUCCUGAGGAAGGUUUCAGGUGGCUCCUUUAUGUUUGGUCUUCAAAGAGAGUCAGUUGUAGAAAUGUCCCCAUGCAAGAGCGGGUUCAAAAGCUGACGCCCCUGAACAUUGGGAACACAUUGUCUAAAGAAAGCUGUGAUCUUGUAGGAACAAUUUUCUUUGCCUUGACAGAUUGGUAGGUUAGAGCCAAGUGUGCAGGCUGCUGCUGCCAAGGCCAACGGCUUCUCAUGUUUAUCUUCUCAUGCUUACCUUGUACCUAUCCCAGUUGAUUCACACAGAUGUUUCUUUUAUCAUUGUGUGUUAUCUGUUUUCCAGAAAUCAACUCAAUACAUUUUUGAAACAAAACAAAGCAGAUCAGUAAACACAAUGACAUAGAUAAGUAUUAGAAAAUGUGAGUGUUAUGGCUCUUAUGUUGAGGUUAGAGGUACAAAUACGAUUUCAAAAUGGACUUCAAUAGGAAAUAUAUUCAAUAUUUUUGAAGAAACAUCAAUGUCCUGAAAAUACAACUACAUAUACACACAAAUAUACACAUCUGUACAUACACAUACUCACAAACAAAUACACAUACACACACGCACACACACACACACACACACACACGUAUAUAUACACACUCAUGUGCACACAAACACACACACAUAUACACAUACACUCAGAGCAUGUGGCAAAGUAAGACUACAAGUUGUUGCUUCCAAUUUAUAAGUGAAAUUUACCAGAUGUUAGUUUUGAAACUAGUUGGAGUUAUAUGGUACUUAUUCCAGCCAAAACUGCUCUAAGAAGGCAAGAGCUUGGGACUUCCCAUGUUGUUGUUUGUUUAUUUCAAAAUGAUGUUUUAGGUUGAAAAUCAAGUUGUAAGGAAGUCAGCAAGAUGUAGGAUUAGGUGAAAGAGCCAUGCACUGGCAAAUGUCUAAAAGUCUUGAGUGACAGAUAUUCAAUAAGUGAAAUAAUCCUUGCAUGCCUUCAUUUUGCUC